GCGGUCAUAGGACAUGGCUGCCAAGAGAAAAAAUUCUGUUGCUCCAAAGAGAAUAACAAAGAAUAUUUGACUGGCACAAGCAUUGUAGGGAUUCUGUGCUGCGGAGAUCAUUACGGAAGCAACAGUAGCAGGUGGCCUGGCCAUACAGGGAUUCCUUACUCGCAGCAGAGAAUGUUGCUGCCACUCAAAGUCACCAGGGGCUGAAGAGCUCCUGUGGAGACCCACAUCAUCUAACAACACACAUACUCAAAACAGGGAAAUGUGCAUUUUCGGGAGAGGAAGAGACAAACCUUUUGUUUAGCUAACUGGCAUGACAGAGUGUGACAUACAUGUGCUCCUGGAAGAACGGUGUUGGGUGUCUGCACUCAAAAUCUUGAGCAUAGGCAACUGGAUGAAGGGCUCUGUGGCAUUGAUUUUCAUUGUGUGUGUGUUAAUAUUUACAUUUAUAAUUAAAUAAAUAAUCGAAAUUAUGCUGAACUGAAAAAA